GGCUUCCCUCCCCUGCUGUCAUGGUCCCCAUAAUCCUGGCAAGGCACGACUGUCUUCGAGAUGAAUGUUCUUGUUGUGGGGAUCAGAGUAAGAGAAAGGGAGAGGAACAUCUACACAUGUGACACUGUUCCAGGCUCUGGGGUGAUGAAAUUUACACAAGACAAAGUCCCUGAAUUCAUGGCAGAAGAAGAGAGUAACAAUCCUUCGGCAUGGUUUUGAUGAAGAAAGGAGUCAGUGCGUGUGAAGUGCUGAGAACAUUGCCUGGCCAGUGACAAGGAUGCAGUGACGGCUAGCUUUGUUGACACAGGCCUUUGGUCCCAGAAGGAAAGAAACGAAAAAGUGUAGAGAGUUCAUCAUGAAUCCAUUCUUCCUUCUGGACAGAAAACCUCAAGGCCGUUGUAGUGAGAGAGCGUCCUUCUCCUGCAUGAAGGACCAUGCGUUACAUCUUGUAAGGCCCAUCAAGAGAAAUCUAGUCCCUGGAAAAUGAUGCCACCAUAAAAAAAAAUAUUCUUAAAGCAAUUGAUCUUUUAAGUAAAAUGCAAUCUGACCAGGAACCCCAACACAUAGCACCAAUAAAAGUGUUGAAGGACUCUACCUACUUGUUACCCCUUUUCCCUCUGUGACUGUCCCUAAAGCAACCACAGAAACCAUGAUUUAAAUAAAACCAAACCAAACAAUACAAAA